rnacentral:rRNA from 1 species
UAUCUCUGUAGAGUCUGCAUAUCAAUAAGCGGAGGAAAAGAAACUAACAAGGAUUCCCCUAGUAACGGCGAGCGAAGCGGGAAGAGCUCAAAUUUGAAAUCUUCAAGGUUUGACCUUGACGAAUUGUAGUUUAAAGAAGUGUUUUCGGUUAGAGGAGUAGUAAAAGUUCUUUGGAAUAGGACAUCAUAGAGGGUGAGAAUCCCGUAUUUGACUAUUCUUUCUAGCUUUGUGAUACACUUUCAAAGAGUCGGAUUGUUUGGGAAUGCAGUCCAAAAUGGGUGGUAAAUUCCAUCUAAAGCUAAAUAUUGGCGAGAGACCGAUAGCGAACAAGUACCGUGAGGGAAAGAUGAAAAGAACUUUGAAAAGAGAGUUAAACAGUACGUGAAAUUGUCAAAAGGGAAGCGUUUGACACCAGUGUUGUUUUUCCGAAAAUCAAUUAAAAAUUGAUUCAUGCCAGGUUGUAUUGACCUUAUCAGCUUGCAAUUUGGUUUUGGGUCUCUUUUUGAUGCACUUUUCGGUUAACAAGUCAACAUCAAUUUCCUUUGCUGUAAAAAGGUAAGAGGAAGGUGGCUUCAAUUUCGGUUGAAGUGUUUAUAGCCUUUUAUCUCUGCAGUCGGGGAGAUUGAGGUCUGCAGCGUAGAUCCUUCGGGGCUAGAUACAUUUAUGCUAAGUUAUAGCUUUUCAUAGACAACUUGUUGACUAUGUUUAGUCAUGUAGCUUACUCGUAAGUGCUAUUUUACCUACGCUUAGGAUGUUGAAGACUCUACAGAGAUA